rnacentral:rRNA from 1 species
AUUGAACGCUGGCGGCAGGCCUAACACAUGCAAGUCGCACGAGUGGCGGACGGGUGAGUAAUGUCUGGGAAACUGCCCGAUGGAGGGGGAUAACUACUGGAAACGGUAGCUAAUACCGCAUACCAUCGGAUGUGCCCAGAUGGGAUUAGCUUGUAGGUGAGGUAACGGAUCACCUAGGCGACGAUCCCUAGCUGGUCUGAGAGGAUGACCAGCCACAAUGGAACUGUGACACGGUGCAGACGCCUACGGGAGGCAGCAGUGGGGAAUAUUGCAAAAUGGGCGAAAGCGUGAUGCAGCCAUGCCGCGUGUAGGAAGAAGGCCUUCGGUUUGUAAAGUACUUUCAGCGGGGAGGCGUUACCCGCAGAAGAAGCACCGGCUAACUCCGUGCCAGCAGCAGCGGUAAUUC